rnacentral:rRNA from 1 species
GAGUCGGUAGGUUGGUCGUGCCACCGGUAUGUACUGGCCUUACCGAUUCCUCCUUCUUGUAGAACUGUGAUGCCAUUAAUUUGGUGUUGCAGGAAAACAGGACUGUUACUUUGAAAAAAUUAGAGUGUUUAAAGCAGGCUAACGCUUGAAUACAUUAGCAUGGAAUAAUGAAAUAGGACAUCGAUCCUGUUUUGUUGGUUUCUAGGAUUAACGUAAUGAU